rnacentral:rRNA from 1 species
GCAUAUCAAUAAGCGAAGGAAAAAGAAAACCAACAGGGAUUGCCUCAGUAACGGCGAGUGAAGCGGCAACAGCUCAAAUUUGAAACCUGCCAACAGGCCCGGAUUGUAAUUUGUAGAGGAUGCUUUGGGGUAGGCACUGAUCUAAGUUUCUUGGAACAGUACGUCACAGAGGGUGAGAAUCCCGUUCGUGGUCGGUUGCCUGCUCCGUGUAAAGCUCCUUCGACGAGUCGAGUUGUUUGGGAAUGCAGCUCAAAAUGGGUGGUAAAUUUCAUCUAAAGCUAAAUAUUGGCCAGAGACCGAUAGCGCACAAGUAGAGUGAUCGAAAGAUGAAAAGCACUUUGGAAAGAGAGUUAAACAGCACGUGAAAUUGUUGAAAGGGAAGCGCUUGCAAUCAGACUUGCGCGUAGGUAAUCAAGGGCGGUUCGCUGCCCUGCACUUGCCUGCGCUCAGGCCAGCAUCAGUUCUGGGGGUGGGAGAAAGGCCGUUGGAAUGUGGCUCUUCGGAGUGUUAUAGCCUUCGGUGCCAUGCUGCCUCCCGGGACUGAGGACCGCGCUUCGGCUAGGAUGCUGGCGUAAUGAUUGUAAGCGACCCGUCUUGAAACACGGACCAAGGAGUCUAACAUCUAUGCGAGUGUUUGGGUGUCAAACCCACACGCGGAAUGAAAGUGAACGGAGGUGAGAACCCUUGAGGGUGCAUCAUCGACCGAUCCUGAUGUCUUCGGAUGGAUUUGAGUAUGAGCAUAGCUGUUGGGACCCGAAAGAUGGUGAACUAUGCCUGAAUAGGGUGAAGCCAGAGGAAACUCUGGUGGAGGCUCGCAGCGGUUCUGACGUGCAAAUCGAUCGUCAAAUUUGGGCAUAGGGGCGAAAGACUAAAUCGAAACCAUCUAGUAGCUGGGUUCCUGCCGAAG